rnacentral:tRNA from 1 species
GCCCCGAUAGUUCAAUGGAUAGAACGCUGGCCUUCUAAGCCGGAGAUGUAGGUUCGACUCCUACUCGGGGUA